GGAGUCACGCCAGAAAUCCUACCCGGAGAGACAGCAGAAUGAAGGUCAAGCUGAAGACUUUACCAGACAAGCUGAGAGGUGGUGCAUGGCCGUCGCCAGCUCGUGCCGUGAGAUGUCCUGUUAAGUCAGGUAACGAGCGAGAUCCUCGCCACUAGUUGCUAUCAUUAUUCUCAGGAAUAGUGGGGCGAAUUAGUGGGACUGCCGUUGUUAAAACGGAGGAAGGAGAGGGCUACGGCAGGUCAGUAUGCCCCGAAACUCUGGGGCCACACGCGGGCUGCAAUGGUAGCGACAAUGAGUUCCAAACUCGAAAGAGAGUGGCAAUCUCUAAACGCUACCACAGUUAUGACUGAGGGCUGUAACUCGCCCUCACGAAUAUGGAAUCCCUAGUAACCGCGUGUCAUUACCGCGCGGUGAAUACGUCCCUGCUCCUUGCACACACCGCCCGUCGUUUCAUCGAAGUUUGCUUUUAGCGAGGUGAUGUUUAAUUGACAUUAUCGAACUUGAGGUAAGUGACGAGGGAAAAGUCGUAACAAGGUGACCGUAGGGGAACCUGCGGUCGGAUCA
rnacentral:rRNA from 1 species